rnacentral:rRNA from 1 species
AAUGAACGCUGGCGGCAUGCUUUACACAUGCAAGUCGAACGGUAACAGGGUGCUUGCACCGCUGACGAGUGGCGAACGGGUGAGUAAUGCGUCGGAACGUGCCGAGUAGUGGGGGAUAACGCAGCGAAAGUUGUGCUAAUACCGCAUACGUACUGAGGUAGAAAGUGGGGGACCUUCGGGCCUCACGCUAUUCGAGCGGCCGACGUCUGAUUAGCUAGUAGGUGAGGUAAAGGCUCACCUAGGCGACGAUCAGUAGCGGGUCUGAGAGGAUGAUCCGCCACACUGGGACUGAGACACGGCCCAGACUCCUACGGGAGGCAGCAGUGGGGAAUUUUGGACAAUGGGCGAAAGCCUGAUCCAGCCAUGCCGCGUGUCUGAAGAAGGCCUUCGGGUUGUAAAGGACUUUUGUCAGGGAGGAAAUCCCUAGCGUUAAUACCGCUGGGGGAUGACAGUACCUGAAGAAUAAGCACCGGCUAACUACGUGCCAGCAGCCGCCGUAAUAC